rnacentral:rRNA from 1 species
AUUGAACGCUGGCGGCAGGCUUAACACAUGCAAGUCGAGCGAGCGGCGGACGGGUGAGUAAUGUCUGGGAAACUGCCUGAUGGAGGGGGAUAACUACUGGAAACGGUAGCUAAUACCGCAUACCAUCAGAUGUGCCCAUAUGGGAUUAGCUAGUGGGUGGGGUAAUGGCUCACCUAGGCGACGAUCCCGAGCUGGUCUGAGAGGAGGACCAGCCACAUUGGAAGUGAGACACGGUCCAGACUCCUACGGGAGGCAGCAGUGGGGAAUAUUGCACAAUGGGCGCAAUCCUGAUGCAGCCAUGCCUCGGGUGUGAAGAAGGCCUUCGGGUUUUAAAGCACUUUCGGCGAGGAGGCGUUACUCGCAGAAGAAGCACCGGCUAACUCCGUGCCAGCAGCCGCGGUAAUUC